UAAGAAAAAAUAGCUUCCUUUCUUCCUGCUAAGCUGCAUCCUGGCUUUACUCAGCGGAGACAAGUGGAGCUGGGAUAGAAGCAUAGAACUUGUUUCCUGCAGCUCAGACUCUACCAGUCCCAGGCUAGAUUUCCCUGAGGCUGUGGCUAUACUGGGCCCACAUUCCCACAGGGUGACUUGGGCUGAAGCAAAAAUGUUCUGCUCACAGUGACAUUACUUGUCUGGACUUUUUGGUUUUCAACAUGAGCAACAGUCCCAGCCAGGCUGGGUGUGACUCAGUGGUUGCGCAUAGACAGACCUAUGAACCAGGAAGUCACAGUUGGAUUCCUAGUUAGGGCACAUACCCGGUUGCAGGCUCAAAACCCAGUGUGGCAUAUCUAGGAGGCAGCCAAUCAAUGAUUCUUUCUCACUGAUGUUUCUAUCUCUCCCUUUCCCUUUCUCUCUGAAAUCAAUUAAAAAUAUAUAUAGCAACAGUCCCAAAAGAAUGACAAACUAAGGGAGCAUUUACUAAGACUGGGCACUUAAAUCUGCUUCAUUUUAUUUAAUCCACACAGGAACUGUUUUCAGGGCAGGACUACUCAUUGCCCGAUUUUACUGCAGAGAAAACUCGGGCUCAGAGGGAUAAAGUGACUUGCCCAAGGUCACAGAGCUGACCAUCUCACUGACACUACCUCUGUUUCCUUCUCUGCCUCUCAGUAUGGGCAGCUAUGUGGGGACACUUGGUUCCUUCACAGAAAGUGUGGAGGAAGACACUAUGGUACAUAAUGAUGACAGUACCUCUUAUCUAUUGCUUCAUAAUAAACCAUCCUGAAACACAA